rnacentral:sRNA from 1 species
GAGAAUCAUAACUUACCUAUCUUGGGCCUC